GGAGCUUUGUGCCAUGCAGUUUAGACUCAUGCGGGCGAGGAGAAUUUGUGAAUUUUGUCAAGCAAUCCGGGAGAGGCGUUCCUCACAAUUUUCAUAGCAAGGAGCUUUGACCGCGUGAUUGAAGAAGUCUUCGGGCAAGAAGUCGCGCAUCGUGAUGGGGACGGACGAUCUUCGUGUCGAAGUUUCAUCAUCUUCAACACGUUCAUGUUGCUUUGAAGG
rnacentral:lncRNA from 1 species